UGAGGAAUAUUGGGCAAUGGGGGCAACCCUGACCCAGCAACGCCGCGUGGAGGAUGAAGGUCUUUGGAUUGUAAACUCCUUUUCUCGGGGAAGAGCAAGGACGGUACCCGAGGAAUCAGUCACGGCUAACUACGUGCCAGCAGCCGCGGUAAUACGUAGGUGGCGAGCGUUAUCCGGAAUUAUUGGGCGUAAAGCGCACGCAGGCGGCUCGUUAAGUCUGACGUGAAAGACCUGGCUUAACUGGGGGAGGUCGUUGGAGACUGGCGGGCUUGAGGCAAUGAGAGGGGUGUGGAAUUCCCGGUGUAGUGGUGGAAUGCGUAGAGAUCGGGGGGAACACCAGUGGCGAAAGCGACACCCUGACAUUGACCUGACGCUCAGGUGCGAAAGCGUGGGGAGCGAACGGGAUUAGAUACCCCGGUAGUCCACGCCGUAAACGAUGAACACUAGGUGUAGGUGGUGUUAAAACCGUCUGUGCCGAAGCCAACGCGCUAAGUGUUCCGCCUGGGGGAUACGGCCGCAAGG
rnacentral:rRNA from 1 species